rnacentral:rRNA from 1 species
UGGGGAAUAUUGGACAAUGGGCGAAAGCCUGAUCCAGCCAUGCCGCGUGUGUGAAGAAGGUCUUCGGAUUGUAAAGCACUUUAAGUUGGGAGGAAGGGCAGUAAGCGAAUACCUUGCUGUUUUGACGUUACCGACAGAAUAAGCACCGGCUAACUCUGUGCCAGCAGCCGCGGUAAUACAGAGGGUGCAAGCGUUAAUCGGAAUUACUGGGCGUAAAGCGCGCGUAGGUGGUUCGUUAAGUUGAAUGUGAAAGCCCCGGGCUCAACCUGGGAACUGCAUCCAAAACGGGCGAGCUAGAGUAGGGCAGAGGGUGGUGGAAUUUCCUGUGUAGCGGUGAAAUGCGUAGAUAUAGGAAGGAGCACCAGUGGCGAAGGCGACCACCUGGGCUCAUACUGACACUGAGGUGCGAAAGCGUGGGGAGCAAACAGG